UGAAGGCGGCGCCUCCAGGAAACACGGAUUGAGACCCCGCCGGUGACCGAGGUUUGGGGCGUGGCCAGUCUGCUCGGACCAAUCAGAGCUCAGGGUGAACUUUGUAAACAAGUCUUCCACGCUGUUUUCUGGAUCGUUGCUUUUCUUUUACUACGGAGAGACGCCGCGGUGCUGCAGCCCGGGAGGAGACGAGCUACAAACAGGUUUUGGUCAGUUGAGGACUUUUGGGACCCAUUAAAACCUGGUGACAAUGACUUUCACCCCCAGGGCCAUGGCAGGGGUCCGCCCCCCUACUGACCUCUCCAGUGCUGCCCGGUCCAGCUUCAACCCUGCUGCUCCCGGUUCUGAUUGGUUCAACAAAGCACCCAAAAAAAAACCCUCUGAGACGUCAAUACAGAUGUUGAAAUCAAACCUCACUCACAAAAUAUUUCUGAAGACCAGAGGAAUAAUGCAGAGCAGGGAGAAGCAGCACCAGAAAGCCUGCUGUGACCCACAUCACACCUCAUGCUGGGGUCACGGUCUUUCCUGGCACACCUGAGUGACAUCACAAGCAGAGCUGAUGAGACCAGCAGCAGGUGGAGAAGUCCAAGUUUUCAGCGUGUGCCAGCCAGUCAGCUGAGAGGGAGGAAAACAAGAUCUGAGGCCGGCAACGCGUCAGAACUGGGACAAAGACGAGAGAGAAAACAAGGGAGAGCCCCGCUGAAUGACAGAGAUAGGAACCAAUGCAGAAAAGUGGCGCCGAGUGCGGAAGAUGUUGCUUUGAAGCUCGUUCCAGGUGUUUGUGGAUUGCAAAUAUGGCAAAGUAAGAUAGCAGGCAGAGGCAGGAUGAGGCCAGACGUAGGUAAUGACAGGUGUAUUACAGCCAGGUAACUCUGAUUCAGCCUCCCUUUGAUAUCCUGAUCAUCCAGCUGAGUCAUGUAUGAAUGAAAAAAAUCACUUUAUUAUUCAGAUUGUUGUGUCUGAUUCUCUUUCUUCAUCAAAUUAAACUGGAUGUUCUCCUAAAGCUGGAAACUCAUGAUGAAGUUCAGUGACACUUAUUCACCACAGUCCACAAUAAAAAACUCAUAUAAAGAUUAAAUAGAGGUUCUCUGAGUUUACAGCAUUGAUUAGAGGACAUGCUAACUGACAGAAAGUGACUGACAGACAGACGUACUGUCCUGCCACCCACGCUGUUGACCAUCAGGAGUCUGGUGACGUCGUCCUAAGGUAAAGUACAAACAGAAACGGCACUGACCCACCAGAGCACUCUCUGAACUCCAGAAGAAUAGCGGCUCUAGCAGCAGCUGUUCACAAUGACCUUACCCCACAAAAAUCAAUCAGCACAAACACUGGCAACCCGGGGUGGAGCGCUGGUCUGAUCUGGAAACGGGGAUCUUUCCAGAAAAUCUCUGGAUGUUUUAAUAAAUCGUCACACUCCACCAUCCCUUCAAAGCUGCUUUUUCCACUAACCCGAGUUCAACAGAUUGGACUAGUGGACUGACCCAGUGGAAAAUCUCCCACAGACACACAAACACCAGAGUCAAGGUGUUCUCUUCAAUGAUUGAAAGGUGCCAUUGCACUUGUUAACCUCCCUAUCUGAUCCAGACCCCAUUCAGGACAGUAGGAGACAUAGUUUCAGCAGCACCAGGACACCAGUGUGUCCAGGCUGCUCCACACAUCGGGCACUGGGAGGACUGACUGGGAGGACUGAGUGGGAGGACUGAGUGGGAGGACUGAGUGGGAGGACUGACUGGGAGGACUCACUGGGAGGACUCACUGGGAGGACUGACUGGGAGGACUGACUGGGAGGACUGACUGGGAGGACUCACUGGGAGGACUGACUGGGAGGACUUGCUGACUGUCUGGCCGGCUGGCAUCACCGCCUCAGUUGGCAAAGCUGUCCAGCUCCACUAGAUUUUAAAGUUUCUUUUAAUGGCUGUCUGUCUUUUUUGUGUCAUAUAGUUGCGUCUCUGCUGCCUUUUGCCCCAGUGUGGGCGAACGUGGGCCAAGGUGUGCGUUGGUUAUCUCCUUCUGGAAAAGCAGUGCCCUUGUUGCUUCAUAUAGCCCAACUAGUGACCGGCUAUUGAUAAGGCUAAUGUCUCCCGAUAGCUACCAAGCUUUCAAGUCCCGGCACAAAACAGCCGGCUCCCUUUUAUGUUGUUUUCCCAGCCAAGGACAGACAGGGCCGGCUGGCUAAUCAGUAAUCAGUCACUGCUGAGCUCCAGCAGUCCUUCAGAUGGGCGGCUUUUCACCCCUUUCUUCUCCAUCAUCUUCUUCCUUUGCUUCCUCUACUUCUUCCUCUUUGUUUCUGUCUUGGCUUACUCUCUCUAGUCACUCCUUUAUUACCAUUAAAGCGAGGACAAACAGACUUAA
ensembl:lncRNA